rnacentral:rRNA from 1 species
AGUGGCGGACGGGUGAGUAACGCGUGGAGAACCUGCCGUAUACUGGGGGAUAACACUUAGAAAUAGGUGCUAAUACCGCAUAAGCGCACAGCUUCGCAUGAAGCAGUGUGAAAAACUCCGGUGGUAUACGAUGGAUCCGCGUCUGAUUAGCUGGUUGGCGGGGUAAAGGCCCACCAAGGCGACGAUCAGUAGCCGGCCUGAGAGGGUGAACGGCCACAUUGGGACUGAGACACGGCCCAAACUCCUACGGGAGGCAGCAGUGGGGAAUAUUGCACAAUGGGGGAAACCCUGAUGCAGCGACGCCGCGUGAGUGAAGAAGUAUUUCGGUACGUAAAGCUCUAUCAGCAGGGAAGAAAAUGACGGUACCUGACUAAGAAGCCCCGGCUAACUACGUGCCAGCAGCCGCGGUAAUACGUAGGGGGCAAGCGUUAUCCGGAUUUACUGGGUGUAAAGGGAGCGUAGACGGCAGCGCAAGUCUGGAGUGAAAUCCCAUGGCUUAACCAUGGAACUGCUUUGGAAACUGUGCAGCUGGAGUGCAGGAGAGGUAAGCGGAAUUCCUAGUGUAGCGGUGAAAUGCGUAGAUAUUAGGAGGAACACCAGUGGCGAAGGCGGCUUACUGGACUGUAACUGACGUUGAGGCUCGAAAGCGUGGGGAGCAAACAGGAUUAGAUACCCUGGUAGUCCACGCCGUAAACGAUGAUUACUA